rnacentral:rRNA from 1 species
AGUGAACGCUGGCGGUAGGCCUAACACAUGCAAGUCGAACGGCAGCACAGUAAGAGCUUGCUCUUACGGGUGGCGAGUGGCGGACGGGUGAGGAAUACAUCGGAAUCUACUUUUUCGUGGGGGAUAACGUAGGGAAACUUACGCUAAUACCGCAUACGACCUACGGGUGAAAGCAGGGGAUCUUCGGACCUUGCGCGAUUGAAUGAGCCGAUGUCGGAUUAGCUAGUUGGCGGGGUAAAGGCCCACCAAGGCGACGAUCCGUAGCUGGUCUGAGAGGAUGAUCAGCCACACUGGAACUGCGACACGGUCCAGACUCCUACGGGAGGCAGCAGUGGGGAAUAUUGGACAAUGGGCGCAAGCAUGAUCCAGCCAUACCGCGUGGGUGAAGAAGGCCUUCGGGUUGUAAAGCCCUUUUGUUGGGAAAGAAAAGCAGCAGGUUAAUACCCCGCGGUUCUGACGGUACCCAAAGAAUAAGCACCGGCUAACUUCGUG